GGGCGAUUAACUCAGCGGUAGAGUGUUUCGUUCACAUCGAAGAAGUCGGGGGUUCGAAUCCCUCAUCGCCCACCA
rnacentral:tRNA from 2 species